rnacentral:tRNA from 2 species
GCUCCUGUAGUCUAGUGGUCAAGGAUAGAGGCCUCUCGAGCCUUUGACGCGGGUUCAAAUCCCGCCAGGAGCA